rnacentral:rRNA from 1 species
UGGGGAAUAUUGCGCAAUGGGCGGAAGCCUGACGCAGCGACGCCGCGUGGGGGAUGACGGCCUUCGGGUUGUAAACCUCUUUCAGCACCGACGAAGCGAAAGUGACGGUAGGUGCAGAAGAAGCUCCGGCUAACUACGUGCCAGCAGCCGCGGUAAGACGUAGGGGGCUAGCGUUGUCCGGAUUUAUUGGGCGUAAAGAGCUCGUAGGUGGCUUGUCGCGUCGGUUGUGAAAACCUGCAGCUUAACUGUGGGCGUGCAGCCGAUACGGGCGGGCUAGAGGCAGGUAGGGGAGAGUGGAAUUCCUGGUGUAGCGGUGAAAUGCGCAGAUAUCAGGAGGAACACCGGUGGCGAAGGCGGCUCUCUGGACCUGUUCUGACGCUGAGGAGCGAAAGCGUGGGGAGCGAACAGGAUUAGAUACCCUGGUAGUCCACGCCGUAAACGUUGGGCGCUAGGUGUGGGAACCACUCCACGGUUUCCGUGCCGUAGCUAACGCAUUAAGCGCCCCGCCUGGGGAGUACGGCCGC